GCCAUACAGGAUUAAAAGGGAAUCAGGUGCAAAUCCUGAACAGUCCCGCUGCUGUAAGUUCCGUAUUACGUCGCGUGCUCGCAAAGCCACUGAAUUACAUUUGGGAAGGCGCACGACGACGGGAACAAGUCAGAAGACCUGCCGAUACUGUUU
rnacentral:ncRNA from 1 species